AUUCUCACUAAUUGGACCAAUCCAUGUUGUUGGAGCUAUAUUUUUAUUUUUGUUUAUUUUGGGUUUAAGUUAAUUUAUAGCCUUACUUAUUUCUUUUUCUUUUCCUGUUAAAGUUAAUUUGGUGUAUUUUGUAUUCAUGCUUUACUCGUAUUGUCGUUUAUUGGUCACAUGGUGUUAUGUUCAUUUGCAUAAGUAGGUCAAGGUGGGAGGUACUUCAGGCUCGAGGGCAUAUGGUUUUUUACCAGCGUGAGAGAGGCAGCAGAAAUGUCUGUGAGCUUGCUUAUGUGUGUGAAUAAACCGCCUCAAACUCAAUCUUGUUAUGGACAUUACUUUGCUUUGGUACCUCUGAACCUGCGUAAAGCCUAACCAUGACGUAGCCUCGAGUGGCCAUUUGAGAAGUUUGUUAUUAUUUGUUUUUGUUUAAGUUUAUGGACAAAUAGCCACUACAAUAAGUAAAAAACCCGCCCUGGAUAUAUCGUUGGUUUACGUGGAUACUGGACUUGUCGUUUGCUGGAUUACCGUUUCGAAAGUGGAUUACUCACCUGGAUGCGGGAGACAAACAAAGGAAAGGGCCUAGGAGUGACGGAGGUGUGGGCUGGAUACAGUGCAAACAUCGAAUAAUACGACCCAUCCGACAGUGUAAAGUUUCCCUGGACACCGUACUGGAUAACGGUGAAGCUACUGGAGCGCUGGAGCUGCACUACGGAGUGGAGGAUAUUAUUUGCUGCAAUUUGAAUUCGCAAAGGCCCAAAGCCUUCACAGGUAACGCGCACGGCCGCGCGCAACAACAGCUACUGCGUGCAUUCAACUCCGUGUACAAAGGCAACCACCGCAACAAACAAAGUUCCACAAGAUAUGGAGAAUCCGAAGAUGUGAAGAUUCCAGUUUAAUGCUUAAGCUACAAUUAGAAAAUAGCUCCUUUGUGUUAAAGCUAAGGUUAAUUGUGGGUAAAGUACCGUUACAAUUAGGGGCUGGGUUGUUGGAGCUAUAUUUUUAUUUUUGUUUAUUUUGGGUUUAAGUUAAUUUAUAGCCUUACUUAUUUCUUUUUCUUUUCCUGUUAAAGUUAAUUUGGUGUAUUUUGUAUUCAUGCUUUACUCGUAUUGUCGUUUAUUGGUCACAUGGUGUUAUGUUCAUUUGCAUAAGUAGGUCAAGGUGGGAGGUACUUCAGGCACGAGGGCAUAUGGUUUUUUACCAGCGUGAGAGAGGCAGCAGAAAUGUCUGUGAGCUUGCUUAUGUGUGUGAAUAAACCGCCUCAAACUCAAUCUUGUUAUGGACAUUACUUUGCUUUGGUACCUCUGAACCUGCGUAAAGCCUAACCAUGACGUAGCCUCGAGUGGCCAUUUGAGAAGUUUGUUAUUAUUUGUUUUUGUUUAAGUUUAUGGACAAAUAGCCACUACACAUGUUGUUACCUUGGAAACAAAGGGUCAUAUAAUUUACAACAGUCAAGGUACAAUCUUUUAGCAAAAAGGAUAUCUGAAAAACAUCUAAUUAAAGUGUUUUUUCCUGUUACUGCAUGUCAAUUAUCAUCUGGUUUACCGACAAGAUGGGUCCAAAUGUUAGUGAAUUCAGCACUAACCUGGCGGUUGCUGGAGUUUCGGGCGGGGGAGGAACCCCCUGGUUAUUUUUUGGGGUUCAAGGUUAAGGUCUGGUUUUAGGCCAGAUGAGUGGUUGGUAUGGAUUUGAAAGGGUAUCCGUUUCCUCAAUGCAAAGCUUUUUUCAGUUUAUAGUGUCUUUUCAAACCUCCAUGGAUUCUAAAACCAUAUCUUGCCUAAAUAUGAUGGAAUUGUUUUGACAUUGAUGGAAACAAAUCUAUUGACUUUCUUACAGAGAGAAAGAAGAAGAUCAAUACCACAUUGAUAUUUGUUUUCUAUUUAUAUAUGAAGACAAGUAGCGCAACUUAGCAUAAAGGCGGAAUGCAGUGUGAAACAGUUCUAGUCCUCUAAACCAGGUGGUAAAUUGUAUUUUGCAUGGCUGAAUUGACAGCAAACACAAGAAAUAAUUAAUCGCUCAUUCUGGAAAUAUCCCAAAAGGUGUACAGAUUGCCUAUCUUAUCCAAGACCCACUUGAAAAACGCUGUCCCUUUUAGUCCCAUAGAUUUUUUCAUUUUU
ensembl:lncRNA